rnacentral:ribozyme from 14 species
AAAGAAAAGGAAAAAGAAAAAAAGUUUUGGGCCGGCUGAGGAUUUUUCUUUUCCAAGGGCUGUUUCUGCUUUCUUUCCUUCUUUCCUUCUUCUUUCUUCAAGUUUGGG